ensembl:lncRNA
AAUAUAAUGGCAUUAGAUGAUUAUGUGAGGCAACAUAAAGUGGUAGAAAACAGUUAUAUAGAAAUUACUUGUAUGAUUUUAUUUGGGUGCCUGCCUUAACCUCACGGAAACCCUUCACAUUGAGCUUCUCACUUCUAAAGUAGCCUUUUUCUACUAGUCCUGUAGAAUUACUGUCAGUGUUCAAGGCAGUGGUUUUCAGUGUGACUGAUCUUGUCCAUUGGAAGUAAUUUUGGAGUGAGCAGGACACAUUUUAGUUGUUGUAAUAAUGGGGAAAUGGUGGUCUUUGGUGGGGUGGAGAGAUUCAGGAAUUUUGAACAUCUCACAUGCAUUUAAUGAUCCACAGAGAAUUUUUCUGGAUUGAAUGCCUGUUGAUAUGGUAGAUUACAUUGAUUGAUUUUAGAAUAUUGAACCAGCUUCCAUCCCUGGGAUAAACCCCACUUGAUCAUAGUGUGGUGAUACUAACUUCAUAAAAUGAAUUGGAAAGUGUUCCUUUCUCUUAUGUUUUCUGGAAGAGGAUGUAUAAAAUUGAUGUUAAUUCUUAAUUAAGCAUUUGGUAGAAGUUUCCAGUGAAAUCAUCUAGA